rnacentral:tRNA from 1 species
UUAAAAAUAAGCUAAAAUAAGCUUUUGGGUUCAUUUCGCAGGGAAUAAAGAUAAUAUCUUUUUUUUAAA